rnacentral:rRNA from 1 species
GAGUUUGAUCCUGGCUCAGGGUGAACGCUGGCGGCGUGCUUAAGACAUGCAAGUCGAACGGUCCCUUCGGGGAUAGUGGCGCACGGGUGAGUAACGCGUAACUGACCUACCCAAAGUCGCGGAUAACGAUUCGAAAGAAUCGCUAAUACGUGAUGUGCUGUCAGAUUGUGUUCUGCCAGUAAAGAUUUAUUGCUUUGGGAUGGGGUUGCGUUCCAUCAGCUAGUUGGUGGGGUGAAGGCCUACCAAGGCGACGACGGAUAGCCGGCCUGAGAGGGUGGCCGGCCACAGGGGCACUGAGACACGGGUCCCACUCCUACGGGAGGCAGCAGUUAGGAAUCUUCCACAAUGGGCGAAAGCCUGAUGGAGCGACGCCGCGUGAGGGAUGAAGGUCUUCGGAUUGUAAACCUCUGAAUCAGGACGAAAGACGCGUAAGCGGGAUGACGGUACCUGAGUAAUAGCACCGGCUAACUCCGUGCCAG